UACGUAGGGUGCGAGCGUUAAUCGGAAUUACUGGGCGUAAAGUGUGCGCAGGCGGCCGAGCAAGUCGAGUGUGAAAGCCCCGAGCUUAACUUGGGAACUGCGCUCGAAACUACUUGGCUAGAGUGUGGCAGAGGGAGGUGGAAUUCCACGUGUAGCGGUGAAAUGCGUAGAUAUCAGGAGGAACACCGAUGGCGAAGGCAGGUCUCUGGGCUGAAACUGACGCUCAUGCACGAAAGCGUGGGGAGCAAACAGG
rnacentral:rRNA from 1 species